rnacentral:rRNA from 1 species
ACGUAGGGGGCAAGCGUUGUCCGGAUUUACUGGGUGUAAAGGGCGCGUAGGCGGAUCUAUAAGUCGGUGGUGAAAUCCUGCAGCUUAACUGCAGAACUGCCGUCGAUACUGUGGAUCUUGAGUUCGGAAGAGAGUAGCGGAAUUCCGGGUGUAGUAGUGAAAUACGUAGAUAUCUGGAAGAACACCAGUGGCGAAGGCGGCUACUUGGUCCGUAUCUGACGCUGAGGCGCGAAAGCGUGGGGAGCAAACAG